GUCCCUGUAGUUCAACGGAUAGAAUACACCCCUCCUAAGGGUGAGAUGUAGGUUCGAUUCCUACCUGGGAUACCA
rnacentral:tRNA from 2 species